GCAAAAUUUGGUGAAGCACAAAGGGCUGUACUGGGGAGUAAGAUGUAUUGUUCCAGUUGGCAUAAUAGCUCCAGUUAAUUUCUUCUACUCAUCAAAAAUCAGAAGUAGAUUCUAACAAUUUGUGCUGGCUUAUGCUGUCUCCUCAAUUCUAUUCUUCCUCAGCCUUUCUUCUCAAUAAGCUCCUUGCCCUCCUGUAUCCUCCUCUCAAUGCGUUUUCUUGUAGGACCCACCAUGAUGGAGUUGCUGGGCUGCAGAACAGCGGCGAAGCUGAGUGCGUGAGGGCUGCUCGGUCCCUGAGAAGUUGGAAGUGACUAGGAGACCAUCUAGUUCUGAAGAUUUCACCCCUCCUUCUAUAAAAGAGAACACCUAACUUGUCAGCAUCAGGUUGUUGGAUAAGAGGAAGCUGUGGAGAAUGAAAGGCCA
rnacentral:lncRNA from 1 species